rnacentral:rRNA from 1 species
UACGUAGGGGGCAAUCGUUGUCCGGAUUUAUUGGGCGUAAAGAGCGUGUAGGCGGUCAGGUAGGUCCGUUGUGAAAACUCGAGGCUCAACCUCGAGACGCCGAUGGAAACCAUCUGACUAGAGUCCGGAAGAGGAGAGUGGAAUUCCUGGGUGUAGCGGUGAAAUGCGCAGAUAUCAGGAGGAACACCAAUGGCGAAGGCAGCUCGCUGGGACGGUACUGACGCUGAGACGCGAAAGCGUGGGGAGCAAACAGG